UACAGAGGGUGCGAGCGUUGUUCGGAAUUAUUGGGCGUAAAGGGUGCGUAGGCUGUGCGGUAAGUCACCUGUGAAAACUCUGGGCUCAACCCAGAGCCUGCAGGCGAAACUGCCGUGCUGGAGUAUGGGAGAGGUGCGUGGAAUUCCCGGUGUAGCGGUGAAAUGCGUAGAUAUCAGGAGGAACACCGGUGGUGUAGACGGCUUUCUGGACCGUAACUGACGCUGAGACACGAAAGCGUGGGGAUCAAACAGG
rnacentral:rRNA from 1 species